UACGUAGGGUGCAAGCGUUAAUCGGAAUUACUGGGCGUAAAGCGUGCGUAGGCGGUUGGCUAAGUCAGAUGUGAAAGCCCUGGGCUCAACCUGGGAAUGGCAUUUGAAACUGGCCGGCUAGAGUGUGAUAGAGGAUGGCGGAAUUCCCGGUGUAGCGGUGAAAUGCGUAGAGAUCGGGAGGAACAUCCGUGGCGAAGGCGGCCAUCUGGAUCAACACUGACGCUGAGGCACGAAAGCGUGGGGAGCAAACAGG
rnacentral:rRNA from 1 species